GGGGUGUAGCUCAGUUGGUUAGAGCGCUGGCCUGUCACGCCAGAGGCCGCGGGUUCGAGUCCCGUCGACCCCGCCA
rnacentral:tRNA from 1 species